rnacentral:lncRNA from 1 species
GAAGUGGAGGCUUGCAUCAGGAGUCUUAUGUGAUAAGAAAGUGCCACAGAAACUCAAGGGGAAGUUUUACAAAGUUUGUGGUUUGACCUGCCAUGUUGUAUGGGGCAGAGUGUUGGCCGGUGAAGAACUCUCAUGUUCAGAGAAUGAAGGUUGCGGAGAUGAGGAUGCUCAGGUGGAUGUGUGGACUCACCAGAUUAGAUAAGAUUAAGAAUGAGGUUAUUCGGGAGAAGGUAGGGUGGCCCCAGUGGAUGAGAAGAUGCGAGAAGCGAGGCUCAGGUGGUUUGGGCAUGUGUGGAUGAGAAGCCCUGAUGCCCCGGUAAGGAGUUGUGAGCGGCUAGCGGUGGUUGGCGCGAGUCGAGGCAGAGGGAGGCCUAAGAGGCAUUGGGGUGAGGUAAUUAGGCGGGACAUGGCUAGAAUGCGUAUUUCCGAGGACAUGACCCUUGAUAGGAAAGUCUGAAGGUCUAGUAUCAUGGUUGUAGGAUUGGGGCUUCUAGAAUUUUUCGUACUUCUCUCCAAGGCUGGGUGGGGUUUGGUAGGGCUCUCCAUAGAUGAUUUGUGUAUUGUAUUGUGCCUCCUUAUGGUAGUUACUGGUGUAUAUUAUUACAUGCCAUUUUAUUUAUGGUUUUAUGUUUAGAUACUUAUUAAUACCUAAGAGGCAUUGGGGUUGAGGUAAUUAGGCAGGAUAUGGCUAGGAUGCUGAUUUCCGAGGACAUGGCCCUUGAUAGGAAAGUCUGGAGGGUCUAGUAUCAGGGUUGUAGGAUAGAGGCUUCUAAAAUUUUUCGUACUUCUCUCCGGGGCUGGGUGGGGUUUGGUCGGGCUCUCCAUAAAUGAUUUGUGUAUUGUAGUGUGCCCCCUUAUGGUAGUUACUGGUGG